AUCGUACAAACGCCACCGUUAGCUCUACAGAAGCAAAGAAAUCGUAAACCAUUCAUGCGAAAUGGCUCCCAAGGAGAAGAGCAACGCUACCACUGGCUUCAAUAAAGGCAGUAGCGGCAGUAAAGAUAAGAAAGAGAUGCAUUACAGAGGUGUUAGGAAGAGGCCAUGGGGCCGUUACGCCGCCGAGAUUCGGGAUCCCGGUAAGAAAAGCCGGGUCUGGUUAGGCACUUUUGAUACUGCUGAGGAGGCAGCUAGAGCCUACGACAAGGCGGCGCGUGAGUUUCGUGGCUCCAAGGCCAAGACUAACUUCCCUUUACCCGGCGAAAUCGCUCCGAUCAACACCAAGGUUGUUGACCAUAUAGAUAACCAGAGUCCUAGCCAGAGUAGCACAAUCGAGUCCUCCAAUCCUCUGGCUGUGCGUGAGGUCACGAGCAACAUCGGUGCCGUGAGUGGGGUGGUGGAAAGGUUUCCGUUUGUUUAUCAACAGCAGAACGUUGUGGGUCCAGUUUGGUUUUUUGAAGGGAGAAGCAGGCCCGAGUUUAUGACUCAGCUAUUCCCUGUCCGGUUUAACCCAGUAGGAGUGGAAUUCAAUGGUGGGCUCGUCAGCAGUGGAACCCAGAGUGACUCGGACUCAUCAUCUGUGGUUGACUGCAAACCAGCAAGAGAUAUCGAUCUUAAUCUUCCUCCAUUGGAGGAAGCUUGAUCUAAUUUAUUGAAUUAAUUUUUCAGAGAAAUAACUCAUUUAUCAUUACUAAUCAUCUAUAUCUUUGAUAAUUACAGAAAAGUAGUUACUGGGUUAUCAUUGGAUGUAAAUAGCUUAGCUUUUUUUUUUUAAUGCAACUGAGAGAAAUACUUAUGAUUUUCUCUUUUGAGUUGUUUUUAUUGUAGGCAUACAUUAAUUCUACAAGUGUUUUUCUGUUUGAAAAAUGAAUACCAAUUAA
rnacentral:misc_RNA from 1 species